UACGAAGGGGGCUAGCGUUGUUCGGAAUUACUGGGCGUAAAGGGCUCGUAGGCGGCCAACUAAGUCAGACGUGAAAUCCCUCAGCUUAACUGGGGAACUGCGUCUGAUACUGGAUGGCUUGGAUUUGGGAGAGGGAUGCGGAAUUCCAGGUGUAGCGGUGAAAUGCGUAGAUAUCUGGAGGAACACCGGUGGCGAAGGCGGCAUCCUGGACCAAUAUUGACGCUGAGGAGCGAAAGCCAGGGGAGCAAACGGG
rnacentral:rRNA from 1 species